CUACGGGUUGCACCAGUGGGGAAUAUUGCACAAUGGGGGAAACCCUGAUGCAGCGACGCCGCGUGAGUGAAGAAGUAUUUCGGUAUGUAAAGCUCUAUCAGCAGGGAAGAAAAUGACGGUACCUGACUAAGAAGCCCCGGCUAACUACGUGCCAGCAGCCGCGGUAAUACGUAGGGGGCAAGCGUUAUCCGGAUUUACUGGGCGUAAAGGGAGCGUAGACGGUGAGACAAGUCUGAAGUGAAAUCCCGGGGCUCAACCCCGGAACUGCUUUGGAAACUGCCUGACUAGAGUGCAGGAGAGGUAAGUGGAAUUCCUAGUGUAGCGGUGAAAUGCGUAGAUAUUAGGAGGAACACCAGUGGCGAAGGCGGCUUACUGGACUGUAACUGACGUUGAGGCUCGAAAGCGUGGGGAGCAAACAGGAUUAGAUACCCCUGUAGUC
rnacentral:rRNA from 1 species